GAGGUGCGGCGCGGGCCCUCCUCCCAUUGGAUCCGGCGCUCCCGGCAGGCAGGCCUACAGAAUUGGGCAUGAAACAGCAAAGGAUGGCCUCUGCUUCCACCACCAUCAGAAAUGUUAUAUUUUCACCAGUGCACCAUAAUGUAGCAGUCUCUCCAUAAUGUAGCAGGUGAGGUAUCACCUGGAGUUCUUCGUCUCAUGACCAAGAAAAUUAAGGAGCGUGGAUGCAAAGGAUGAAGUUGCAGCGAAAGUUUAAUAAGCAAAAGAAGAAAGCUCUCCACAGUGGAGAGGGGACCUGGAGGAGGGUUGCUGCUUUUACAGGGGGUGACCUUUAUCUUCAUGGCCCAGUGUGACUGCAAGAGCUCUAGCAUCCAAGUUCCCAGCAGAAGGAUGGAGGACUGGCUGGAAAAACAAGGAGACACAGGGUAUGCAUCAGGAUCUUUCUGCUGAUGCAGCUGUUAAGAGUGUUUCAUAAACUGUGACAACACUAAGCAAAAUCAUAGAAGGAAACUCUAUGGACAAUUUCAGAUGGAGAAGAAGAAAGGACUGGAAGUUCAAUUUGGCCAUGACAAUUAGACUUGAAGAAGCUGAGUGAGAAGGCCAUGCAGAUAUCUUGGAGAAGUGCAUUCCAGGCAGAGGAAAAGCCAGUGCAGAGACACUGAAGCAGGGCAUGACUGAUGUGUAUAAGGAGCAUCAUAUACAUGAUCAUCUACAGUCCACUGAGGAGAAUAGCAGACGAG
rnacentral:lncRNA from 10 species